UACGAAGGGGGCUAGCGUUGUUCGGAUUUACUGGGCGUAAAGCGCACGUAGGUGGAUUGUUAAGUGAGAGGUGAAAUCCCAGGGCUCAACCCUGGAACUGCCUUUCAUACUGGCAAUCUUGAGUUCGGAAGAGGUAAGUGGAAUUCCAAGUGUAGAGGUGAAAUUCGUAGAUAUUUGGAAGAACACCAGUGGCGAAGGCGGCUUACUGGUCCGAUACUGACACUGAGGUGCGAAAGCGUGGGGAGCAAACAGG
rnacentral:rRNA from 1 species